rnacentral:rRNA from 1 species
AGAACGAACGCUGGCGGCAUGCCUAAUACAUGCAAGUCGAACGAACACUUCGGUGUUAGUGGCGCACGGGUGCGUAACGCGUGGGAAUCUGCCCUUGGGUUCGGAAUAACAGUUGGAAACGACUGCUAAUACCGGAUGAUAUCGAAAGAUCAAAGAUUUAUCGCCCAGGGAUGAGCCCGCGUAGGAUUAGCUAGUUGGUGAGGUAAAGGCUCACCAAGGCGACGAUCCUUAGCUGGUCUGAGAGGAUGAUCAGCCACACUGGGACUGAGACACGGCCCAGACUCCUACGGGAGGCAGCAGUAGGGAAUAUUGGACAAGUGGGCGCAAGCCUGAUCCAGCAAUGCCGCGUGAGUGAUGAAGGCCUUAGGG